GAUGAACGCUGGCGGCGUGCCUAAUACAUGCAAGUCGAGCGAACAGACGAGGAGCUUGCUCCUCUGACGUUAGCGGCGGACGGGUGAGUAACACGUGGAUAACCUACCUAUAAGACUGGGAUAACUUCGGGAAACCGGAGCUAAUACCGGAUAAUAUAUUGAACCGCAUGGUUCAAUAGUGAAAGACGGUUUUGCUGUCACUUAUAGAUGGAUCCGCGCCGCAUUAGCUAGUUGGUAAGGUAACGGCUUACCAAGGCAACGAUGCGUAGCCGACCUGAGAGGGUGAUCGGCCACACUGGAACUGAGACUCGGUCCAGACUCCUACGGGAGGCAGCAGUAGGGGAUCUUCCGCAAUGGGCGAAAGCCUGACGGAGCAACGCCGCGUGAGUGAUGAAGGUCUUCGGAUCGUAAAACUCUGUUAUUAGGGAAGAACAAAUGUGUAAGUAACUAUGCACGUCUUGACGGUACCUAAUCAGAAAGCCACGGCUAACUACGUG
rnacentral:rRNA from 1 species